GCUUACAUUUUACAUUUUAGUACAAAUAUGUAAAUACCUGCAUAAAUAUAUGGUGAUUUUUGGUAAUCCAAAUUGUAGAUCUGUUACUUGAUUCUGAAUAGCCAUCUAUGUUUGCAAGGUGCAAUAGGGAUCAAGCAAUCAUGCAAUCAAAUGUGCAAAGUGUGUGAAUGCCUUCAAGCACUGUGCAAAAAUUGCAAGAGCGUAAUGAGUGCAAUUUGUGCAAAUGAUCCAUUUGCUCUCUGACCUCAGUAACAAGCUGUUUUAUGCUUGAAUAUUAAAGUGCAUGUCAUGCCAUAUUUCACAUUCAAAAUGUCAAAUAAAUAUGUGUAGUUCUUAAAAUGUAAUAUCUUAGUGAGAUGUUAUUGAGAGUGACAAGUUGGAGAAUAUUGGUAGCGCUGUAUUAAAAAUAUAAUAUCACAACUGAAGCGAUGUCUUGCAAUGUGAUAAAAUAAGAGCACAGAGCAGCAUAACAACUGCAAUCAGAAUAAUGUACAUGCAUUUACAAGUAUAUAAAUUCUCUGCUGUGGUAUUUUAUUUAACUAAAGUUUCUUUCAUUUGCUUUUAUUACUAUAACUGUUUAAAAUUAUUGGAAUUUUUAUUUCCAAACUACACAUUUUAGAGAAGAAUGAUUCUGGUAUUCCAACAUUUUCAACUUAUUCCAACAUUGUCAUGAAAGUAAUUUAUGUCUAUGUGCGUUUAUCCUUUAAAGGAGAAGGAACAGGAGAAGGAACAUCAGAGAAUAAAACCACAAACUUCAGCACCCCAAACUCCUCAAUCCCACAAGCCUUUACUAUUACGAACCCCACUGUCCAACAGAAACCAUGUCCCGAAACCAUCCAUAAUAUCACUCAGCUUGUUCUGGCUCGGCUGAAGGUAACCUGGAAGAAAGGGAGUACGUGUGAGGGUCGGCUGUAUCUGGAUUCCCCUAAUCAGCAUCAAGCCUUAUGCCAUAGCAGUUACAUACCAGACAGCUGGUGGAGUGAACUGUGUAAAGACAUGAGAUGUGGAGAAUACAAGGGCUUUAAGUCCACAAGUAUGGCUGAUGGUCUUUUGCUUACAAGCGAUAUGAUGUUAACCAAAAUUAAAUGCUCAGGCCUGCACAUCAUUUGUGAAGAUUCUCUAGGAAGUGAGUUGGCUGCUUAUAAAGCAGUAACUGGCAUAUUAAUUUUCUUGAUGCUGGGAGUCAUUCUGCUUCAGUUUAGUCGGCCCACGUACAAAGCCAUCCGCAAAAGAUUUUCACAAAAGCGGCAGAAUCGCUGGAUCGGCCCGACGCAGAGUCAGAGUGUGUCCUAUCACAGAGGCCAAGGUGCCCCAAACAACAACACACUCAAGAGACAGUCCUUUCCUGGUUUGGAGAGGCUGACGGUAAACACGAGCAGAGAGCCCUCGUCCAACAGAAACAGUGACUAUGACUCAUACGGCUACAACUGAAGGCCUGUGCUGACAAAAGACCUAAGAGUGUGUUUACUGACCCUGAGCAGACCUCUCUCGUCAGUCUCUUCUAGAAUCAGCAGUCUUGCGUUCUGAGGAUUUGGUUGGUUUGAGCUGUUGUUUGGCAAGUUGAGCAAGAUGUAAAUAUGUUUGAGAAGUUCAGCUGAGAAAUCCAUCUAGGAUAGAAUUUAAAAAAUAAAUAAAUUAGUCUCAAUGUAACCACCAAAGCGCUUAUUUUGUAUUGCAUAGCAGACUAUCAUUUUAUUAUUAUUUUUUUUAAUCAUUUUUGUAAUUACCUGAUUUUGCUGUAUAUGCUUGUUAAUAUUGUUAAAUAGUCAAAUAGAAACAAAAUUGGAUUUUUGCUCAUGUCCUGAAAGACACUGGCUUUUUUGUUUAUUUAUACAAGUGAUUGAUUUUUGAGUUGGAGAAUGAAUAAUUUUAAAUAAACUAAAAAUACAAUCAUUUGAA